UGCGUAGGCGGCUUUUUAAGUCGGAUGUGAAAUCCCUGAGCUUAACUUAGGAAUUGCAUUCGAUACUGGGAAGCUAGAGUAUGGGAGAGGAUGGUAGAAUUCCAGGUGUAGCGGUGAAAUGCGUAGAGAUCUGGAGGAAUACCGAUGGCGAAGGCAGCCAUCUGGCCUAAUACUGACGCUGAGGUACGAAAGCGUGGGGAGCAAACA
rnacentral:rRNA from 1 species